AAGCAUAUGCUUGUCUCAAAGAUUAAGCCAUGCAUGUCUAAGUACGAGCCCUCCACGGGCGAAACCGCGAAUGGCUCAAUAAAUCAGUUAUGGUUCCCUAGAAAUGACUAUCCUACUUGGAUAACUGUGGUAAUUCUAGAGCUAAUACAUGCACCCAAGCUCCGACGCGGUGCAAACCGCGAAAGAGCGCUUUUAUUAGAUCAAAACCAGUCGGGGGCCUCUCGGGGCCCUCGUACUAUUUGGUGACUCUGGAUAACUUCCCGCUGAUCGCACGGCCUCCGCGCCGGCGACGCUUCUUUCAAAUGUCUGCCUUAUCAACUGUCGAUGGUAGGUUAUGCGCCUACCAUGGUUGCAACGGGUAACGGGGAAUCGGGGUUCGAUUCCGGAGAGGGAGCCUGAGAAACGGCUACCACAUCCAAGGAAGGCAGCAGGCGCGCAAAUUACCCACUCCCGGCACGGGGAGGUAGUGACGAAAAAUAACGAUACGGGACUCUUCCGAGGCCCCGUGAUUGGAAUGAGUACACUUUAAAUCCUUUAACGAGGAACCAU
rnacentral:rRNA from 1 species